GAUGAACGCUGGCGGCGUGCUUAACACAUGCAAGUCGAACGGGAUCCAUCAGGCUUUGCUUGGUGGUGAGGGUGGCGAACGGGUGAGUAAUGCGUGACCGACCUGCCCCAUACACCGGAAUAGCUCCUGGAAACGGGUGGUAAUGCCGGAUGCUCCGACUCCUCGCAUGGGGUGUCGGGAAAGAUUUCAUCGGUAUGGGAUGGGGUCGCGUCCUAUCAGGUAGUCGGCGGGGUAACGGCCCACCGAGCCUACGACGGGUAGCCGGCCUGAGAGGGCGACCGGCCACAUUGGGACUGAGAUACGGCCCAGACUCCUACGGGAGGCAGCAGUGGGGAAUAUUGCACAAUGGGCGCAAGCCUGAUGCAGCGACGCCGCGUGCGGGAUGACGGCCUUCGGGUUGUAAACCGCUUUUGAUCGGGAGCAAGCCUUCGGGUGAGUGUACCUUUCGAAUAAGCACCGGCUAACUACGUGCCAGCCGCCGCCGUAA
rnacentral:rRNA from 1 species